CAGGUGAAAAUUAACACAGUUGUCCAAAAAAAGGUACUAGAAGAGCGUGCAUCUACAGAAUGAAAAAUACUCAUGCUGUCAAGUGCAAGAUCCAGAACGGUCCAGUUUCAACCUCAGAGCUGAUCCAUAGCUCCACCCUGACCUUCAUUAACAAAACCAGAUCAGAUGGUGCCAACUAGCCAAAGUCAGUCCACCGGGCUGUUCAAAACAGCAAGGAGAGAAGACUCUCCAGAUGCAAACUCUGAUUUUGGCUUUUCCCACAGCUGCAGCCGUCAAAUUAUUUCUCUCCUGUGUGUAUUCUUUGCUGUCCAAUAACAAGGGAACUCACGGUAUAUCAUUAAUAUUAUUCAGUAACUAAAACCCGUUGAUCACGAGGUACAACUCCGGUGGAAAGAAGACCUCAUGGAUUCUGGUAUUCACAGAACUACUAUUUUCUGAUACCUUUUUCUUAAUCUAUAGUAUGUGUAUUUUUUAGAUCAUAAAUAUUUGGGAUAGGGAUAAUACCUGAUUUUUUAACCACUGUAUUGCAUUGGAAUAGUAAGCAAUGGUAUAGUUAGAAAAAUGGUUCCCAUAGUUUUUACCAUGUCUAUAUAUUAAGUAUGUUUUAGGAAGAUUAAAGAAAACACAGCUUUCAGUUGCGCUGCCUUUUGACAGUGCUAAGUUGAAGCUGCCUUAUCGCAUGCUUGGAAUAUUUCAGUCUUAACUCGGUACUAUGGAAUUCUUAAUACAGGCGUUUCUCAGAAGUACAGAACUUACAAGUGUGAAACAUGUUGUAAGAAAUAAUGAGCAAAGAUAAGUAAUAGCAUCCCAGUUGAAAUCAAAGCAGAAAAUAGCUAAAUCAUUUGAAAAGAGAUGAAUUACAGUAAAGUAGCUGUGCAGCAUAUAAUGAGAAGUGACUAUGGACUACAGUGGAAUGAACUCAAGUUGCAGUAGGCAAGCCCAGGUCCUACAAAAAUGGCAGGGGAUAUCUCCUGGCCAGAAAUACCUAAUCAGACAACAUCAGAAAACAUGAAAAAAUCUGGUUUUUGUAAAGAUAUUUUUAUGCAAUUAUUCUUGGAGGAGUCUUGGUGUACCUGUGUAGCUCACCCUAUAUUAUCCUGAAUUACAUAAGACUAAUGAGCACAGAGAGAUAUUCUCACACACACACAAAAAAGAAACCAAAACCAAAGACGUGAAAAAAAUUGAAAAGUCUGCUUAGGUGGAUUUAGUGACAGUUAAAAAUGAAUCUGAGUAAAAAUGGGAAAAUUUUGCAUCCUGUGCAGUCUGCUGUACACUCUGUCCUGUGUGUAAUUAAUCAUUUACACCUGUAUGGAAUGUCACAAUUCUUAUUUGGUAACAUUUUGCAUUGGGAUAAAUAAUACAGUAGCUGCAGGGGGUUGGUAUAUAAAUGGCUUUCCUUAUUUACUUAUUAUCUUUCCCCCCACCUAGAAUAUGUUAAACAUGUUUCAGACCUGACUUGGUUUCAAGUAUGAAUAGGUUUUCAAUAGCAACAUCAUAUAUCUUACUUUAAGGUGUGAAGAGGAAGAAACAAAAAUGUUUUAACUCCAGCACAGUUUUCACGCUUCAGCAUACUUGUGUCCCUUAGGUGGCAUAUAAGUGAUAAAUGAGCACUUUUGACAGCAAACAUAUUUCUUUAUAACCUUCUUCACAAUAAGUGACUAGUUAUCAAAUUUGAUUGCUAACUAUUGUCUGACUUUGCAACAUUCUUGAACACCAUAGAAUUUCAUGGACAAUUUUGCAGGGAAAAAGGCCUGACUAGAUCCUAAGAGGGGGAAAGCACAAUGUAUUCUGAAUCAGUAUUAACUGAGUGGUUAAUAUAGAUGUUUACAAAUAUAAGCAGUUUGUCUGUGCACACCCACCACAUUGUCAGCCCCCAUCUUCAGUCAAUAGAUUUCUUUUCCUUUGAGCUGUGUGAAAUGUUCCAUGUGGAAAAUUAACCCAUAUUUUAAUAUGGGUUAUUGUAACACUACAAUGUUAAUCUAACGUUACAUAACAGUAUGUUACUGUUUUAUGGAGUUCCUGGUGGACUACAGUGAGAGCUGAAUCCCUAGCACUUUUCAUUUUAACCAGGAAACAAAAGUAAUGAUGAUGCUGUCACCAAUUCAGCACCUCCAUGAGCAACACAGAACUGUUAAGAAUCCCAAAGUGGCUGUAACUACCUGUCAUCUUGACGUGCUGUUGAUAGCACUUAGACCAACUGUAGCAGGUCUGGGUCUGGGUACAAGUUCCCUGCCAGGAGCAGUUGUACUGCCAAGGGUUCUCUGUGGCAGUGUGUGUGUGAGGUGCCUGUCCUGCUUCAUCAGCUUUUGGUGUCACUGAAUUGCCAGUUUGCCACAAUGCAGAGAUGUAGCUGUUUCUGGGAUGUUGCAGCUUCUUUAUUUUUCUUAACUGUAUUAACAGUGUUGCAUGCUGUUAUCAUCCCUUUGGUCUGCUGAGACCAUGAAUGAAUUUAGACCUUCAACAACAGCAACCUCAAUACCCUUAUUAAAAAUGCGAUUGUGAUCACUACGUCCUACAUUCAGCCUACGUUGAUGUUUUUGAUCACAUCCUCUGUAUCCCAGCCAAACCUACGUUAUUCUUUACGUUGAGGACUGAUGUGCAAAUUGAAUUAACUCUUUCUGAUGUAAAGACUUACUUCAGUUUGAGUCCCCUUCUGUCCUUUAAGUUUGAAAUCUUUUCUGGUCCACAAGUGAGCAGUGCUGGCCUGUAUAUUCUUCCCUACAUUUCUCAUCCAUUCUUCGUCAUGUUUAAUGAGUAUCCAGAGGUAUAAAAUACAGCAAGUAAGAGCUGUACAAAAAGCGUUUGACCAAUUAAAUGUUGUCAUCUCUUCCUGAAGACAAAAAAUCAGAUAUUUUGAUAAUCUACUCAAUUAGCAGGGAAGAAGCAUAAUCUUUCAGUUGGUGUCUUUUCUAUAUGUAUUUUUUCUCUGAUUAUGCCAGAAACAGCUGUGUUUAGGAACCUGUACCUUAGGAAAUGUAAAAUCUCUAACUUACCUAGAACAGGAAACCAUAAUUUUCUGUCAACAAAUGCUGUGAAAGCAGUGUCUGUGCUAAGUGUGUUCUGCAGGAAUCAAGGAACUUGUGGCACGUGAAUUUUUCAGACAUUUGAAAAUGUUCUGGUCUUCAGUGUCUAUUAGUAUGUAUAUACUACCUAUAAGGGACUUUUUCUGUAGGCUGUUCAGCACUUAUGGAAAAAAGUUUUGAAAUGCAAAAAUAAAAAAGUGUUUCAAAUUUUCCAUCAAGAUCAAAUUUAUACUAUAUGCAAAAACAAAACAACCCAUGC